GGGGAAUUUUGGGCAAUGGGGGGAACCCUGACCCAGCGACGCCGCGUGAGGGAAGACAGCCUUCGGGUUUUAAACCUCUUUUGUACGGGAAGAUAAUGACGGUACUGUACGAAUAAGUCCCGGCUAACUACGUGCCAGCAGCCGCGGUAAUACGUAGGGGGCGAGCGUUAUCCGGAUUCAUUGGGCGUAAAGCGCGCGUAGGCGGCCUGUUAGGUCGGGAGUCAAAUCCGGGGGCUCAACCCCCGCCCGCUCCCGAUACCGGCGGGCUUGAGGCUGGUAGGGGAAGGCGGAAUUCCAAGUGUAGCGGUGGAAUGCGCAGAUACUUGGAAGAACACCGGUGGCGAAGGCGGCCUUCUGGGCCACGACUGACGCUGAGGCGCGAAAGCUAGGGGAGCGAACA
rnacentral:rRNA from 1 species